rnacentral:lncRNA from 1 species
AUGCAGGGCCACUUAUACAUGUCUUGUUGUCCUCACAGACUCUCUAGCGGCUCCAGGAAUCCGUGGGAUUCUCGUGGAGGAGGUUUGAGUUGCAUCUUAGAACAUGGAUCUUCUAUGUUCUUCCAGACUCAGGGCAGGCAUGGCCAUGGUGGGAACGACACCUUCUUGAGAUGGGAUGAAGGCAGGAGAUUCUGUCAUAGGAAGCUCAUGAUCAUUUCCGGUCUCAGCUGGUUGAGAGAAACCCAUUCUUCGCCAGCCAAAUCCUCUGCUGAUCAAACACACCUUGCUGUCAACAUGUACGACCAGGCUAAUUUGAGGUAUGGCAUCCACUCCUCUUCUUGAACUUGUGGCCUGAGCUCGAAUGACAGUGGCUGGAAGAGCCACAGCCAUUGUUUUAUGCAGUGAUUGUUGUUCCAAACAUACUAUAUCGGAUUAACCCCCAACUGAAUCCACUUCGAGGCCCCUGAAGAUGAGGCCUUUAAGAGAGAUUAGAUGUAAGCAGAACACAAAGGUGUGAAGACAUUGCCAAGGACAAGUCGCUUUGCCCACAAUUCUGGAUGUCCUUAUUUUGCAAGGUAAGGGUUUGGACUGCAGAAUUCCCGUAAGAGGCCUCCUUCCAGCUCCUGGAAGAUCCUAGAUUUGGAGUAUCCCCGCUGUUGGAGACUGAAUGCUUGUUCCAAGCCCACCUCCUCACCCCUCACCUUCCUACCCCCACCACCCGCUACCCUGUCCCAAUCCACGUGCUGAACCCCUAACUUGCAAUGUGCUGUUAUUUGGAGACGGAUUCCUGGGGGUAAUAAUUAAAUCUAGAUGAGAUUAUGAGGGUGAAGCCCUCCUGAUGGGGUCAGCCUUGCAGGUUUGGUUUGGUUUGGUUUUGCUUUUUAGGGCCGCACCUGUGGCAUUUGGAAGUUGCCAGGCAACAGGUCAAGUUGGAAAUGCAGCUGCCAGCCAACACCACAGCCACAGCCAUGUGGGAUCCUUAACCCACUGAGUGAGGCCAGGGAUUGAACCCUCGUCCUCACGGAUACUAGUUGGGUUCAUUAACUCUGAGCCACAAGGGAAAGACGCCAGAGUGAGCACGUGCAUGUGCAUGUGUGUGCACGUGCAUGAGAGAGACACACACAGGCAGGUGCACUGCCAUGCACCAUGGCAGCUGUCUUGCCAGCCUGAAAAGGCUUCACCAAGAACCUAAUCUCCUGGCACCUUGAUCUGAGAUACCCAGGCUUAGAACUGUGAAGGAAUGAACUUCUCCUGCCGAAGCCCCAGCCUCACACCCCCAGUCUGUGGUAUUUUUGUUUCAGCAGCUGGUGCUGACUCAUCCAACUGCCCAGGAAUGAAAUGCUCACAGGGAGCCGAACUCAGUGAAGCCUGGCCUUUUCACCAGCUCCGCAUCCCUUCAACACAUACUGAAGUCCUGCGUGCUUAUGAGCUGCUCCACCUGGGCUGCACACUGAGGACUUCAGAGAAAUAAACACAGUCUCUGCCUUCCA